rnacentral:rRNA from 1 species
ACGGAAGGCAGCAGUCGGGAAUAUUGCGCAAUGGAGGAAACUCUGACGCAGUGACGCCGCGUAUAGGAAGAAGGUUUUCGGAUUGUAAACUAUUGUCUGCAGGGAAGAAGAAAGACCGUACCUGCAAAGAAAGCUCCGGCUAACUACGUGCCAGCAGCCGCGGUAAUACGUAGGGAGCAAGCGUUAUCCGGAUUUAUUGGGUGUAAAGGGUGCGUAGACGGGAAAUUAAGUUAGUUGUGAAAUCCCUCGGCUCAACUGAGGACGUGCAACUAAAACUGGUUUUCUUGAGUGCAGGAGAGGAAAGUGGAAUUCCUAGUGUAGCGGUGAAAUGCGUAGAUAUUAGGAGGAACACCAGUGGCGAAGGCGGCUUUCUGGACGAUAACUGACGCUGAGGCUCGAAAGCGUGGGGAGCAAACAGGAUUAGAUACCCUGGUA